rnacentral:rRNA from 1 species
UAGGGAAUCUUCCGCAAUGGGCGAAAGCCUGACGGAGCAACGCCGCGUGAGUGAUGAAGGUCUUCGGAUCGUAAAACUCUGUUAUUAGGGAAGAACAAAUGUGUAAGUAACUAUGCACGUCUUGACGGUACCUAAUCAGAAAGCCACGGCUAACUACGUGCCAGCAGCCGCGGUAAUACGUAGGUGGCAAGCGUUAUCCGGAAUUAUUGAGCGUAAAGCGCGCGUAGGCGGUUUUUUAAGUCUGAUGUGAAAGCCCACGGCUCAACCGUGGAGGGUCAUUGGAAACUGGAAAACUUGAGUGCAGAAGAGGAAAGUGGAAUUCCAUGUGUAGCGGUGAAAUGCGCAGAGGUAUGGAGGAACACCAGUGGCGAAGGCGACUUUCUGGUCUGUAACUGACGCUGAUGUGCGAAAGCGUGGGGAUCAAACAGG